rnacentral:misc_RNA from 1 species
UAACACUGGUACCAUGGUGGUUGAAUUUUACCGAAAAAUUGCAUCAGGUUGUCGGGGAAAAUCUUAGCAGCCUAUCUCCGGCGUUUCGAUUCUUUUCGAAUUUCAGAGAGGUAGUUCUCCAAGUUGGGUUUCUUCCAUAAACAUCGCCGAAUAAGGUCUUCCUUUGUUGAUUCAUCGAUGUUUUUCCAUGCAUCAACAGGGACUCUAAGUGAUGUUUGCGUCAGGUAAGAGGCAUCUUCCCGAGAGUAAGGUAUUUGUUUUACCUUGUAUCUCCAAAACCAACAACUAGUCCACAAUAAUAACUUG